AUUGAACGCUGGCGGCAGGCCUAACACAUGCAAGUCGAACGAGUGGCGUACGGGUGAGUAAUUUCUGGGAAACUGCCUGAUGGAGGGGGAUAACUAAUGGAAACGGUUGCUAAUAACGCAUACCAUCAGAUGUACCCAUAUGGGAUUAGCUAGUUGGUGGGGUAAAGGCUCACCAAGGCGCCGCUCCAUAGCUGGUCUGAGAGGAUGACCAGCCACACUGUGACUGAGACACGGUCCAGACUCCGACGGGAGGCAGCAGUGGGGAAUAUUGCAAAAUGGGCGCAAGCCUGAUGCAGCCAUGCCGCGUGUAUGAAGAAGGUCUUAGGGUUGUAAAGUACUUGCAGCUGGGAGGCGUGACCCGCAGAAGAAGCACCGGCGAACUCCGUGCCAGCAGCCGCGGUAAUAC
rnacentral:rRNA from 1 species